ensembl:lncRNA LINC02973 long intergenic non-protein coding RNA 2973
UGUUGGCAUUCCUGAAAGAGAAGGAGAUAAAGUAAACAACCUGAAAAAAGUAGUUGAGGCAAUAAUUCAAGAAAAUUUUCCUAAUCUUGCUAGACAGGUAAACAUCCAGAUAUAAGAAGUUCAGAGAACAUCUCUGAGAUACUUAUACAAAAUUAAUAUCUCCAAGGCAUAUAGUCACCAGACUGUCCAAGGUCAAUGGUAAAGAAAAAAUUUCAAAGGUAGCUAGAGAAAAAGGUCAGAUUACAUACAAAUGGAGCUCCAUCAGACUAACAGUGGAGUUCUCAGCAGAGACUGAGACUACUAGGGCUUGUAUGCUGCCUUCUCCAGGCUGUAGAGUUAGUGGGAGGGGACAGAGAAGGGCAAGGAUUUUAAAACUAACUAUUGGGUACUAUGCUCAGUACCUGGUGAUGGGAUCACUGAUACCCCAAACCUCAGCAUCAUGCCAUAUACCUAGGUAACAAACCUGUAUAUGUACCCUCUGAAUCUAAAAGUUAAAAAGCGAACAAACAAACAAAAUAUAACCUGAUAAAUGGUUUUCUAAAGUUUCCUCCAGAGAGGAAACUUGCACCAGAGCUCUGUUAUCUAUUCUGUUAUUCAUUAUUUUAAAAUAAAAGCCACUUUCUUUUAGUAUCAA